UGAAAAGGAGCUGAAAUGCUAGAGCAUAAGGAUGUGGAGCAGGCCAAAUACUCAGCAUUCCUCCUGUUUCCAUCAGUGACAGGCAGGCAGCAUGAGUACUGGUUCAUGGUGGUAUCAUCAUCUCACCAAGUUUGGCAAGAACUGCAUGUGAUGGAGCAACUACCAAUGUGCGUACAAACUAAGGAUGCUGCCAAUAAUCUAUGCAGAAUAUUUUGUCAAGACUUCGAACUCCGUCAUGCA